UACGGAGGAUGCAAGCGUUAUCCGGAUUCAUUGGGUUUAAAGGGUGCGUAGGCGGACUAUUAAGUCAGUGGUGAAAGCCUGCAGCUUAACUGCAGAACUGCCAUUGAUACUGAUAGUCUUGAGUUUGGUUAAGGUAGGCGGAAUGUGUAAUGUAGCGGUGAAAUGCUUAGAUAUUACACAGAACACCAAUUGCGUAGGCAGCUUACUGAGACGACACUGACGCUGAGGCACGAAAGCGUGGGGAGUCGAACA
rnacentral:rRNA from 1 species